rnacentral:rRNA from 1 species
CGCGUAGGCGGCUUCUUAAGCGGGCGGUGAAAGCCCGGGGCUCAACCCCGGGUCGGCCGUGCGAACUGGGAAGCUCGAGCCCACUAGAGGCAGGCGGAAUUCCGGGUGUAGCGGUGGAAUGCGUAGAGAUCCGGAAGAACACCGGUGGCGAAGGCGGCCUGCUGGGGUGGAGCUGACGCUGAGGCGCGACAGCGUGGGGAGCAAAACA